rnacentral:lncRNA from 1 species
GAAAGUCCCGGUGUGAACUCCCCUACUGAUCUGACUCCAGCGGAUUCUCGAGAAGCCAAUUCUCUCUCUCGAUCUAGAUCUACUUUACCGACAAGAGCUCUUAAUGAAUGAGCAAUGAGUUUGAUUCUAACUAUUCAAAGCGGAGGAAAUAGAAUAUUAUAUAGCCUAUAGCUAUAGGGCUAGGCUCCGCUCCUCGCUCGAGCUACCAGCUUUCUUAGAUUUCAUUCCUGUUGACUAAUCCGAGUCCUUGAGAGCUUAGACGUCAGCGGGGAAGAACUCCGAAAGAAUUUCAUCGGUGAUAAGAGCUCUUAAUGAAUGAGCAAUGAGUUUUAUUCUAACUAUUCAAAGUAGAGGAAAUAGAAUAUUAUAUAGCCUAUAGCUAUAGGGCUAGGCUCCGCUCCUCGCUCGAGCUACCAGCUUUCUUAGAUUUCAUUCCUGUUGACUAAUCCGAGUCCUUGAGAGCUUAGACGUCAGCGGGGAAGAACUCCGAAAGAAUUUCAUCGGCUCCUCCUCUCUUGCCCUCUUGAUGGUAUCCAGUUGAAAUGGUUGCUGGAUUGCCCCUAGUUCAAGCUCUAAGUCAAGCAUUCAGGCACCAAAGACCUCUGACUACGCUCCUCAGCCU